CCAAGGAGUCUUGUUCGUACACGAGUCUAACAGUCUUGAAUAGGCUGAGUUGGGCGUAGCUAAUGCGAACCACAUCAAUGUUGCAAGCACCGUUGUAAAAGGCGGCGGCGGCAGCGGACAAUGUGGGCCUGCACUAUAACUCUAUCGAGUUUUGUGUGGCGUUCGAGUGUAUGGACCGGUACCCGAAAGAUGGUGAACUAUGCUUGGGCAGGGUGAAGUCAGAGGAAACUCUGAUGGAGGCCUGUAGCGAUUCUGACGUGCAAAUCGAUCGUCAGACCUGAGUAUAGGGGCGAAAGACUAAUCGAACUAUC
rnacentral:rRNA from 1 species